rnacentral:rRNA from 1 species
AACGAACGCUGGCGGCGUGCCUAACACAUGCAAGUCGUGCGAGAAAGUUCCUUCGGGAGCGAGUAAAGCGGCGCACGGGUGAGUAACACGUAGGUAACCUGCCCCCCAGUCUGGAACAACUAGAGGAAACUCUAGCUAAUGCCGGAUGAGACCACGAUCCCUUCGGGGGUUGCGGCCAAAGAUGGCCUCUACUUGUAAGCUAUCGCUGAGGGAUGGGCCUGCGGGCCAUUAGCUUGUUAGUGAGGUAACGGCUCACCAAGGCUGUGAUGGCUAGCUGGUCUGAGAGGAUGACCAGCCACACUGGGACUGAGACACGGCCCAGACUCCUACGGGAGGCAGCAGUGGGGAAUAUUGCGCAAUGGGCGAAAGCCUGACGCAGCGACGCCGCGUGGGUGAUGAAGGCCCUAGGGUUGUAAAGCUCUUUUACCAGGGAUGAUAAUGACAGUACCUGGAGAAUAAGCUCCGGCUAACUCCGUGCCAGCAGCCGCGGUAAU